rnacentral:rRNA from 1 species
GAAAUAAGAUUUUAAAUGAGUGCUAAGAGAAUGAUUUAACAAUUAAAAGCUUUCUUUAAUUAAAAAAUUAAAUUUAAUUUUUUAGUGCAAAAGCAAAAAUAAAAUUUAGGGACAAGAAGACCCUAUGAAUUUUUAUUGUUAAUAAUUAAAAUUUUAGUUAUUAAUAAUUUAAUUGGGGCGAUAAAAAAAGAAUAAGUAUCUUUUUAGUUAUAAAAUAAGUUCCGUUUUUAGCGAUUAAAUGAAAUAAAUACUCUAGGGAUAACAGCGUAAUAAUUUUGGAUAGUUCAUAUAGAUAAAAUAGUUUGCGACCUCGAUGUUGGAUUAGGAUUCUU